UACGGGGGGAGCAAGCGUUGUCCGGAAUUAUUGGGCGUAAAGAGCUCGUAGGCGGCUUGUCGCGUCGGCUGUGAAAACCUGGGGCUCAACCCCGGGCCUGCAGCCGAUACGGGCAAGCUAGAAUUCGGUAGGGGAGACUGGAAUUCCUGGUGUAGCGGUGAAAUGCGUAGAUAUCGGAAGGAACACCGGUGGCGAAAGCGGCGCGCUGGACCUCUUCUGACGCUGAGGCGCGAAAGCCAGGGGAGCAAACGGG
rnacentral:rRNA from 1 species